rnacentral:misc_RNA from 1 species
GAUGAAGAACGUAGCGAAAUGCGAUAAGUAAUGUGAAUUGCAGAAUUCAGUGAAUCAUCGAAUCUUUGAACGCACAUUGGGCCCGUCAGUAUUCUGGCGGGCAUGCCUGUUCGAGCGUCAUUACGCCCCUCAAGUCCCCUGUGGACUUGGUGUUGGGGAUCGGCGAGGCUGGUUUUCCAGCACAGCCGUCCCUUAAAUUAAUUGGCGGUCUCGCCGUGGCCCUCCUCUGCGCAGUAGUAAAACACUCGCAACAGGAGCCCGGCGCGGUCCACUGCCGUAAAACCCCCCAACUUUUUAUAGUUGACCUCGAAUCAGGUAGGACUACCCGCUGAACUUAAGCAUAUCAAUAAGCGGAGGA